CCUUAAAAUAACCCGGACCCUCCCCCCCACCCAGCCGGGUCUGCCGGGUCCAGAUCGGAUAAACAGGACACAGCAAGGGAACGGUUCUGGUGGUUCUGGAAUAAACUGUGGAUUUCUCUGAGAGACUGUUGGACCUGUCAUGGCGUCUGCCAGCGUCUCCCGCCCCGGUUCUGGAGGUUCUGGAGGUUCUGCUCUGGCAUUCGAGGAUUAUUCUCUGUACAGUAACCUGACUGAUGACGAGCUGCUGCAGCUGGCCAUCGAGCGCAGCCUGACGGAGACACAGUGCAGCGGUGCUGCCGCCGUGCAGACCGCCGCCGUGCAGACCGCCGCUGUGCAGACCGCCGCUGUGCAGACCGCCGCCGUGCAGACCGCCGCCGUGCAGACCGCCGCCGUGCAGACCGCCCGUCUCCAGGACAACGUCCCGGAACCGACCAGCACCAGCAGAUAUCAGCGUCGAACCCCCAGCAGCCAGAAUCCUCCUGCAGCCCAGACCAGCGCCACCUACAGCUCCCCCAACCCACCGAAGGAGAAACCGCCCGACCUGAAGACCUUCAAUGGAACGGUGAGUCGCUUCAUGACAGGUUCUGGGAAGAGGAUGGUGGCGUACUACAAAAAUGACGGCAGCUUGGUCCACAUCGCUCCAGAACCUGAGGAGGAGGAGGAGCCUCUGUUCCGGGCGAUUCGUGAAGGCAACGCCAACAAGGUGAGAGCCCUGGCCGUGUGUCCGGGAACCAACCUGAUGCUGCCCAGUAAGCCGGGCUGGCUGGCCAUCCACCAGGCCGCCUGGUUCGGACAGGACUCCUGUCUGCGAAUGCUGCUGUCAGCUCAACCAGGAAUGGUCAACAAGAGGACGUCACGUGGCGAGACGCCGCUGCUGGUCGCCGUCAGCAGAGUCCAACUGGGAUGUGUUCAAGUGCUGCUGGAAAACGGAGCCGACCCAGAAAUCCCGAACUAUGAGAAAGAGACUCCGCUGUACAAAGCCUGUGAGCGGAACAGCGCGGCCAUUGUUGCGGCGCUGCUGAACCACGGCGUGGCUGUGAACACGCGGUGCAUUCAGGGAUGGACCGCCCUGCAGGAAACCGUGGUCCGCAGCAACCUGGAGAUCUGCGACAUGCUGCUGAAGGCCGGCGCCAAGCUGAACCUGCGGAACAUGUACGGCAUCACGCCGCUUUUCACCGCCGCUCAGAACGGCCAGAUGGCCGCGCUGCGCUUCCUCAUCAAACACGGCGCAGACGUGAACACUCAGGCUGAUGAUGGAGCCACGGCGCUGUAUGAAGCCGCUAAGAUGGGACACCAGGAAGUGGUGCAGAUGCUUCUGUCCCUGAAGGCUGACGCCAACAAGCCUGGGAAAACGGGAAUGUUGCCGCUCCACAUCGCCGCGCAGAGAGGAAGUGACGCAAUCGUCUCCAUGUUGAUCCCAGUCACCAGCAAGGCCCGGGUCCGGCGGACCGGGAUCAGCCCGCUGCACCUGGCAGCGGAGCGUAACCGUGACGACGUCCUGGAGAUGCUGAUCGAGGCGGGCUUCGACGUCAACGCCCAGCUGUCGGAGGAGCGCACGCGGCUGUACGAGGACCGCCGCAGCACGGCGCUCUACUUCGCCGUCAUCAACAACAACACGGAGGCGGCGCGCAUGCUGCUGGCGGCCGGCGCCGACCCCAACCUGGACAUGUUCCGGCCGCUCAUGGUGGCCUCCAGGAUGGGCUGCAUCCAGAUCGUCAAGCUGCUGGUGGAGCACGGCGCCGACAUCAACGCCGCCAUCCCCACCCACCCCACCACCUUCCCGGCCGUCUACAUGUUCUCCAUGAAGUACCUGCCGCUCUUCAAGUACCUGCUGGACCACGGCGGCCACGCCCUGCCCUGCUUCCACUGCCGCUACGGUGGCCGGCCGCACCCGCCCCUCAAGACCAGCCGCUCCAACUGGAACGAGGACGCCGACCGCCCGGCUGCUCAGGGGCCGGUCACGAGGGGCGUGCAGUUCUGUGAGAUGAUCUCAGUCCCAAGUAUCUGUCGGUGGGCGGGGCCAAUCAUCGACAUCCUGUUGGACUACGUUGGUCAUGUGACCCUCUGCUCCAGACUGAUGGAGCACCUGGACAGUUACUCUGGCUGGAGCACCAUCAAGGAGAAGGCAGCCCCUCCGCGGCCGCUGCUGCAGCUCUGCAGGCUGCAGAUCCUGCAGCUGGUGGGACGCAGGAAGCUGAAACGGCUGCCGCUUCCUGGUGGCCUGAUCCGCUUCCUGAAGCACCAGGAGCUUCCUCCGGACGACGAGAGCUGAAGCAGAGCGCUGACCCGGUGAGCAUUCAGGACUUGCUCCAGACGGCGUCUCGCCUGGGACGCGUCCAGCAUCAAUCCAGUGGCGACACCACCACAGAAGAGGAGGAGGAGGACUCUCACACAGACUCUGAAUGGCUGGAACGUCUGACACCUUAAUGAUCGCUGGUCAUUACUCUGGAGAGGUCAGCCACCCUCCAUUACUCGCCGCCAUGAUGGGGGCUGAGCUCACGGCGCCUUCACCUCAAGACGACGGCGUAACAUCCGUCCUGCUUCCCCGCGCCAGACAGAACCUCCAUCAGAACCUCCAUCCAACCCCAACCGAUGAUCUCAGAACCUGGAAAUAUCAACAAGAGAAAGAAACCAAAACUACACACACCGCUACACCCACUGCUACACUGCCCCAAAACACAACCAGGACCAAUGGGGCCCAAACCAACACACACACCAACCCCUCUGAACACACUGAUGAUGAGCAUUAGUUUGAGCGGCGCAUAUGUGGGUGUGAUUGACAGCAGUAAGAUCCUCCUCUUACUUCUGAUUGGUAGUUUCUGACCUAGCGAUGUAUUUGUGUAAAUGAUAGCUGGAUCAUUUUCAGAUGAUCUGCUGCCACCUGGUUGCAGUUUCAGCAAAUAUGGAAAAAACGGUUUUAUGACGGUUCGGUACUGCAGCUUUAAGGCAGAACUAAACAAUCAGGCGAUCAUAGAUGGAGCAGCUGGAAAUCCCAACCUGCACCUGAAUGCACCGCCCUCCCCAGCCGGCUCUCUCUCUCCUCCCUCCGCUCUUUAUUCUCCCUGGUACCGACCUGACCCAGACCAGACCGAUCCCAGCUGUGGACCGGACCAGAUGCUGGCCGGUAUUCCUGCUGCUCCUGCUGAUUAUGAUGAUGGGAGUCCUGAUCUUCUGCUGUGUCUCCCAG